UCGAAAAUGCAAACAUAAGGGCUAGAAGCACACCUCAUCUGAAAGAGGAGAAGCUAAUCAUGUUACUUCAUGAGUACAUGGAAAAAGUAGGAUGGGCUAUGACAAAAUCAAAAGGAGUGCUACACUUUUUGCUCAAUGCAGUUGGGACUCUCUUCCCUUCUCCAAUUACUUGAGCCUUGAUCAAGUGGAUCGCACCAUGCACACCACACCCAGGGGAGUACUCAGUUUCCUUUGUUCUUUUAUGUUUUUUACACAUUGAGGACAAUGCAUGAUUUAGGUGUGGGGGUGCAUAUUUCUGAAUUUUUAAAUUUUUGCUUUGAUUUUCAGUUUGAAUUUUUAUUUUUCAUUUUUCAGUGUGAUUUUCAAUUUUUCGUUUUGCUUUCAAUAACAUACACAGAUAGCCACAGUUUUUUUUAUUUAUUUAUUUUUGUUUCCGUUUUUGAGAUGCUUUACUCAUCAUAUAGACUAUGUUGGAUGAGCUUUUCUUUCCAUGACCCCAUUGAUGUGAUAACUCUUUAAACCUAUAUUGAAUCAAUUGCAGUGAGUUAUAUUCAUGUUUGAGAAUUGCCUUUUGAAUUGAAUCUUUGAGCUUUACAUGGUGAAAAAUAUAUUGAUGACCCUCAAUUGAUGAGAAUAAAUUAAAAAAUUGUGUGAAUGAACUUAAUGUGACUUGAUUUAGCAAUUGGUGUUGAUUUGCCCAAAUCAUUGAGAGAAAGAAAAUUCAGCAAAGGCAAAGACCUCAAAAGCACAAAUUAAAAAUUGUUCCAAUGGUCAAAAGACUAUGAACAAAGCUAGUAGCCACUUGGAUAGGUGACCAACUGAAAAAUAUAAACCUUCAAUCAAAAAUAGGUUGGUGACCUUUCCAAGAUCUAAAGUGCAAAAGCCUGAAUAAAGUACUUCAAGGUAAGGGCAAGUCACUUUGAAAGCUAGAAAAAGUCUUAACAAAUAAUGUGCAUGUAUGGUCUCUCUUGAGGAAAAUAAAUCCUAGCCAUGGUAAGUAAAGGGAAACAAGGAAAGAAGGUGAAUAAUCUUCAUGCAUAUAUUCUUCACUGCAAUGCUUCAAAAUAGG
rnacentral:lncRNA from 1 species